AACGAACGCUGGCGGCAGGCCUCAAACAUGCAAGUCUAGGGGGUGUAGCAAUACAUCACCGGCGGACGGGUGCGUAACGCGUGGGAAUAUACCUAUCGAUUCGGAACAACUGAGGGAAACUUCAGCUAAUACCGAAUACGUCCUAACGGAGAAAGAUUUAUCGUCGAUAGAUUAGCCCGCGUUCGAUUAGCUAGUUGGUGGGGUAACGGCCCACCAAGGCGACGAUCGAUAGCUGUUCUGAGAGGAAGAUCAGCCACACUGGGACUGAGACACGGCCCAGACUCCUACGGGAGGCAGCAGUUGGGAAUCUUGGACAAUGGGGGAAACCCGUGAUCCAGCCAUGCCGCGUGAGUGAUGAAGGCCUUCGGGUUGUAAAACGUACUUUCGCGCACGACGAUAAUGACGGUAGUGCGAGAAGAAGACUCCGGCUAACUUCGUGCCAGCAGCCGCGGUAAU
rnacentral:rRNA from 1 species